rnacentral:ncRNA from 1 species
UAAAGUUUUAUUUUGCUUUAUAUUAAGUUUUUUUAUUUUGUAAAUAUAAAUAUUUAGAAUUUUAAUUUGUAUUAUGUAAAUUUAUUUAAAAUAUAUUAUAUGUAAAAGAAAUAAAACUAACAAAAUAGCUUAAAUUGUGCCAGCAGCUGCGGUUAAACAAUUAUUUUAACUUAAUAUUGUUUAAGUUUUGAAUUUUUGAUUAAUAAAAAUAAAAAAUGGAUUAUUUUAAGUGAAAUUUAAUAAAUUAAUAUUUUUUAUUCAAAUAUUAAUUCAAUAAAAAUAAGAUUAUCAAACUAGGAUUAGAUACCCUAUUAUGAAUUAUAAAAUUAAAAAUUUAGGAUAGUAAAUGUUAAGAUCAGGAAAUCUAAAAAAUUUGGCGGUAUUUAUUCUGAACAGAGGAAUAUGCUUUUAAUUGAUAAUCCCCAUUUAUUCAACUUAAUUUUAUUUAUUUUGUAUACUUCCAUCUGAAGAAAUUUUUAGAAAAUAGAUUUUAUAAUUCUUUUGUGGAAUAAGUUAGGUCAAAGUGCAGAUUAUAAUUAAGAAAAAGUGUAUUACAAUAAAGUUAUUUUUGGAAUUGAAUUGAAAUGUUUAAGGAAAGUGGAUUUGUUGGUAAAAUAAAUUAAAUAAUAUUUAUUUGAAAAAUGUUAAUAAAUGUGUACAUAUUGCCCGUCAUUCUCAAUUUGAGACAAGUCGUAACAAAGUAGAUUUACUGGAAAGUGAAUCUGGUUCAAG